UACGUAGGCGGAAGAUUAAGUCAGUGGCGAAAUCCUGCAGCUUAACUGUAGAACUGUCAUUGAUACUGGUUUUCUUGAAUAUAGUUGAGGUAGGCGGAAUGUGUAAUGUAGCGGUGAAAUGCUUAGAUAUUACACAGAACACCGAUUGCGAAGGCAGCUUACUAAGCUAUGAUUGACGCUGAGGUACGAAAGCGUGGGGAGCGAACAGGAUUAGAUACCCUGGUAGUC
rnacentral:rRNA from 1 species